rnacentral:rRNA from 1 species
UAAAAAAAGGUAAGCUACUAAGAGCGAAUGGUGGAUGCCUUGACUGGUAAAGGCGAUGAAGGACGUACUAGACUGCGAUAAGCUACGGGGAGCUGUCAAGAAGCUUUGAUCCGUAGAUUUCCGAAUGGGGCAACCCAAUGUAUAGAGAUAUACAUUACCUAUAUAGGAGCGAACGAGGGGAAUUGAAACAUCUUAGUACCCUCAGGAAAAGAAAUCAAUAGAGAUUGCGUCAGUAGCGGCGAGCGAAAGCGCAAGAGGGCAAACCCAGUGCUUGCACUGGGGGUUGUAGGACUGCAAUGUGCAAGAGGUAAGUUUAGCAGAAUAUUCUGGAAAGUAUAACCAUAGAGGGUGAUAGUCCCGUAUGCGAAAAACAAACCUUAGCUAGCAGUAUCCUGAGUAGGGCGGGACACGAGGAAUCCUGUCUGAAUCCGGGUCGACCACGAUCCAACCCUAAAUACUAAUACCAGAUCGAUAGUGCACAAGUACCGUGAGGGAAAGGUGAAAAGAACUGAGGUGAUCAGAGUGAAAUAGAACCUGAAACCAUUUGCUUACAAUCAUUCAGAGCCCUAUGUAGCAAUACAGGGUGAUGGACUGCCUUUUGCAUAAUGAGCCUGCGAGUUGUGGUGUCUGGCAAGGUUAAGCAAACGCGAAGCCGUAGCGAAAGCGAGUCUGAAUAGGGCGCUUAGUCAGAUGCUGCAGACCCGAAACGAAGUGAUCUAUCCAUGAGCAAGUUGAAGCUAGUGUAAGAACUAGUGGAGGACUGAACCCAUAGGCGUUGAAAAGCCCCGGGAUGACUUGUGGAUAGGGGUGAAAGGCCAAUCAAACUUCGUGAUAGCUGGUUCUCUCCGAAAUAUAUUUAGGUAUAGCGUUGUGUCGUAAUAUAAGGGGGUAGAGCACUGAAUGGGCUAGGGCAUACACCAAUGUACCAAACCCUAUCAAACUCCGAAUACCUUAUAUGUAAUCACAGCAGUCAGGCGGCGAGUGAUAAAAUCCGUCGUCAAGAGGGAAACAACCCAGACUACCAGCUAAGGUCCCUAAAUCUUACUUAAGUGGAAAACGAUGUGAAGUUACUUAAACAACCAGGAGGUUGGCUUAGAAGCAGCCAUCCUUUAAAGAAAGCGUAAUAGCUCACUGGUCUAGUGAUUUUGCGCGGAAAAUAUAACGGGGCUAAAGUAAGUACCGAAGCUGUAGACUUGCGCACAACUUAGAUUAUUUAAGUUUAGAAUAUGAGAAACUAAGUUAUGUUUAGUUAUAUUUUUACUGAUUUUUAUAGAGUAAAGAUAGAAAUAAAACUUAGUAAAAUCAGUAAAAAUAUUCUUAGGCUAAAGUUAAGUAGUUUAAGUUGUGUGCAAGUGGUAGGAGAGCGUUCUAUUUGCGUCGAAGGUAUACCGGUAAGGAGUGCUGGAGCGAAUAGAAGUGAGCAUGCAGGCAUGAGUAGCGAUAAUUAAUGUGAGAAUCAUUAACGCCGUAAACCCAAGGUUUCCUACGCGAUGCUCGUCAUCGUAGGGUUAGUCGGGUCCUAAGUCGAGUCCGAAAGGGGUAGACGAUGGCAAAUUGGUUAAUAUUCCAAUACCAACAUUAGUGUGCGAUGGAAGGACGCUUAGGGCUAAGGGGGCUAGCGGAUGGAAGUGCUAGUCUAAGGUCGUAGGAGGUUAUACAGGCAAAUCCGUAUAACAAUACUCCGAGAACUGAAAGGCUUUUUGAAGUCUUCGGAUGGAUAGAAGAACCCCUGAUGCCGUCGAGCCAAGAAAAGUUUCUAAGUUUAGCUAAUGUUGCCCGUACCGUAAACCGACACAGGUGGGUGGGAUGAGUAUUCUAAGGCGCGUGGAAGAACUCUCUUUAAGGAACUCUGCAAAAUAGCACCGUAUCUUCGGUAUAAGGUGUGGUUAGCUUUGUAUUAGGAUUUACUCCGAAAGCAAGGAAACUUACAACAAAGAGUCCCUCCCGACUGUUUACCAAAAACACAGCACUCUGCUAACUCGUAAGAGGAUGUAUAGGGUGUGACGCCUGCCCGGUGCUCGAAGGUUAAUUGAUGGGGUUAGCAUUAGCGAAGCUCUUGAUCGAAGCCCGAGUAAACGGCGGCCGUAACUAUAACGGUCCUAAGGUAGCGAAAUUCCUUGUCGGUUAAAUACCGACCUGCAUGAAUGGCGUAACGAGAUGGGAGCUGUCUCAAAGAGGGAUCCAGUGAAAUUGUAGUGGAGGUGAAAAUUCCUCCUACCCGCGGCAAGACGGAAAGACCCCGUGGACCUUUACUACAGCUUGACACUGCUACUUGGAUAAGAAUGUGCAGGAUAGGUGGGAGGCUUUGAGUAUAUGACGCCAGUUGUAUAUGAGCCAUUGUUGAGAUACCACUCUUUCUUAUUUGGGUAGCUAACCAGCUUGAGUUAUCCUCAAGUGGGACAAUGUCUGGUGGGUAGUUUGACUGGGGCGGUCGCCUCCCAAAUAAUAACGGAGGCUUACAAAGGUUGGCU